GAUGAACGCUGGCGGUAUGCUUAACACAUGCAAGUCGAACGGACUCUUCGGAGUUAGUGGCGGACGGGUGAGUAACGCGUGAGAAUCUGGCUUUGGGUUCGGGACAACCACUGGAAACGGUGGCUAAUACCGGAUGUGCCGAGAGGUAAAAGAGAAAUUGCCUGAAGAUGAGCUCGCGUCUGAUUAGCUAGUUGGUGAGGUAAAGGCUCAACAAGGCAGCGAUCAGUAGCUGGUCUGAGAGGAUGACCAGCCACACUGGGACUGAGACACGGCCCAGACUCCUACGGGAGGAAGCAGUGGGGAAUUAUCCGCAAUGGGCGAAAGCCUGACGGAGCAAUACCGAGUGAGGGAAGAAGGCUCUUGGGUUGUAAACCUCUUUUCUUAGGGAAGAACAAAAUGACGGUACCUAAGGAAUCAGCAUCGGCUAACUCCGUG
rnacentral:rRNA from 1 species